UAAUUCGAUUAUUUGAAAUUCGACUACAGACUACAUUCGUACAGAGUUCUUUUCAUACAUUUUAGUAAAAGAUUACCAUGCAUAAGUGUAUUCUUUUUAGUAAAACAUCCAGAGUAUCGCCUCGCCAAAUUACUUUAAUUUUCAUUUAUUUCCAAAAAAAUGAAAAUACAAGGAAAUAAUGGCCAAAAAUCUUCAAAUUAAAUUAUUAAUCAAUUUUUAUCUGGCAUAGAAUCUGCGCUAAUCAUUUCACAAUCAGUGAUUAUAAACAAAGCUCACAACACUGGCACUACUCAGAGCGUGACUAAUAAAUUAUCGAAGAGAAAAUUAUAUUUCUCCACCGAUGUGUUAGAAGAAAAUGAACAGACCAAUAAAGAAUUUGUAGACUUUACAGUUGAUGAUUUUAAUUUAUACAGAAAUUCCUUGGAAACUUAUUAAUGUC